rnacentral:lncRNA from 1 species
UUCAGAAUGUUGAAAAAAAGUAGAAUUUUAUUAAAUUAGAUUCUAUUUUAUCAAAAUGUCAAGUUUCCAGGAUGAAGAACAUAAGUGCAAAACAGUUAUUUUAGACAAAUAUUUACAAAACAGGUAGCAUUCAGCCAAGUUGAAAUAAGGCAGCUGUUUCAUGUAUCGUGGCAUUUUUCAACACAUCUACAAAAACAUCCCCCACAUAUAAAACAUCUAGGUGAAAAGGACAGUUCAUUUCCCUAUGACAGCAUUUCACAUUUUAAAGGCCAUUUCAUAAUUUCCUUAUGAUAACAUUCAAUAGUUCAAUGGCAAUAAACACAUUUUACAAAACAACUUAAUACAAAAAGCUUAAAUUCAUAUUUAAAAAACAGCUUACCAAAAUUCAUCAAAGCUUUCUCUUGUAUUUACUCUGAGGGAAUACUUUAGACAAGGCAAGGCGGAAUACUGUAGGCAAGGGGAAUACUGUAGGCAAGGCGGAAUACUGUAGGCAAGGCAAGGCGGAAUACUGUAGGCAAGGCAAGGGGGAAUACUGUAGGCAAGGCAAGGGGGAAUACUGUAGGCAAGGCAAGGGGGAAUACUGUAGGCAAGGCAAGGGGGAAUACUGUAGGCAAGGCAAGGGGGAAUACUGUAGGCAAGGCAAGGGGAAUACUGUAGGCAAGGCAAGGGGGAAUACUGUAGGCAAGGCAAGGGGGAAUACUGUAGGCAAGGCAAGGGGGAAUACUGUAGGCAAGGCAAGGGGGGAAUACUGUAGGCAAGGCAAGGGGGAAUAGCGCAACACAAGGCAAGGAUACCAAACAUAGUUGAAUGGCAACCACUGAUAUACGCUGUUCAAUAGUGCAACCCCAUAGACUUGGAAGCCGUGCUGAUUGUUGUCAGCUGAUCUUAGUGUUGGCCAUUUCAGCAGGUUGGGCAUUUCAGCGGGUGUUCAUGGAACAAACCUGUGCUUCGCUGAGGCUUCUCUCCAGCUCCUGAAUACAAGGAUAGAUCAACUGACUGUGCAGCUGUGCCAUUUUAAACCUGAAGGAAAGAGUUAUAGAAAAGAAGAGUUGAAAGGAGCAGUAUUCCCACUGAUUUAUCUUCACAGGUAGAAAGGGCCUGACUUUCCCCUCCCACAAAAUAACUGUAGAAGCUACAGUGGCAAGAGAAAGUAUGUGAACCCUUUGGAAUUACCUGGGUUUCUGCAUAAAUUGGGCAUCAAAUUUGAUCUGAUCUUCAUCUAAGUCACAACAAUAGACAGUUUGCUUAACCUCUUGGGG